CGUUUUUGUUCAUUGGGAUGCAAGGUAUGGAAUUAAUCAUUAAAUUACCACUAAUCACUCACAUUGAUAUGUACCUUCUUGAUCAUCAUUCAUCAUUCAUCAUAUGAUCACAAUUUGCUCAUCUUGGCUUCUGCAAUGACCAACAUUUCACAUAGUAUAUAUCACCAUCAUAACAACAUCCAUUAAUUGGCAUCCACUAUUGUUACCAUCAUCAUGUUCACAUUUCAAUAAUGUUUUGUUUUAGGUCAUUUUUGGGAAAGAUGAGAGGUUUCUUUUAGAAGGGGUUAUUAUAAUUCUUUUGAUAUGUAUAUAUUUUUCUUUAACAACUUAUAUAUAUAUAUAGCUUGCAGAAAUAAAGAGAAAUG
rnacentral:misc_RNA from 1 species